rnacentral:rRNA from 1 species
UACGUAGGGGGCAAGCGUUGUCCGGAUUUAUUGGGCGUAAAGAGCGUGUAGGCGGUCUGGUAGGUCCGUUGUGAAAACUCGAGGCUCAACCUCGAGACGCCGAUGGAAACCAUCAGACUAGAGUCCGGAAGAGGCGAGUGGAAUUCCUGGUGUAGCGGUGAAAUGCGCAGAUAUCAGGAGGAACACCAAUGGCGAAGGCAGCUCGCUGGGACGGUACUGACGCUGAGACGCGAAAGCGUGGGGAGCAAACAGG